GACAAACGCUGGCGGCGUGCCUAAAACAUGCAAGUCGGACGGACCCUUCGGGGUUAGUGGCGGACGGCUGAGUAACGCGUGGGUAACCUACCCGUGAGUGGGGAAUAACCCUCCGAAAGGAGGGCUAAUACCGCAUACGACCACCGAUCUGAGGGUUGGUGGGGAAAGCCGCAAGGCGCUCGUGGAGGGCCCGCGUCCGAUUAGCUAGUUGGUGGGUAAUGGCUCACCAAGGCAACGAUCAGUAUCCGGCCUGAGAGGGCGGACGGACACACUGGGACUGAGACACGGCCCAGACUCCUACGGGAGGCAGCAGUGGGGAAUUGUUCGCAAUGGGCGCAAGCCUGACGACGCAACGCCGCGUGGAGGAUGAAGACC
rnacentral:rRNA from 1 species